UACGUAGGGGGCAAGCGUUGUCCGGAUUUAUUGGGCGUAAAGAGCGUGUAGGCGGCCAUACAGGUCCGUUGUGAAAACUGGAGGCUUAACCUCCAGACGUCGAUGGAAACCGUAUGGCUAGAGUCCGGAAGAGGAGAGUGGAAUUCCUGGUGUAGCGGUGAAAUGCGCAGAUAUCAGGAGGAACACCGGUGGCGAAGGCGGAUCUCUGGGCCGAUACUGACGCUGAGGAGCGAAAGCGUGGGGAGCGAACAGG
rnacentral:rRNA from 1 species